CCCUCGAUAGCUCAGUUGGCAGAGCGGAGGACUGUAGAUGUUUCAACGGUGAUCCUUAGGUCGUUGGUUCAAAUCCGGCUCGAGGGA
rnacentral:tRNA from 1 species